rnacentral:misc_RNA from 1 species
GAUGAAGAACGUAGCGAAAUGCGAUACGUAAUGUGAAUUGCAGAUUUCAGUGAAUGAUCGAAUCUUUGAACGCACAUUGCGCCCGCUAGUAUUCUGGCGGGCAUGCCUGUUCGAGCGUCAUUUCAACCAUCAAGCCCUAGGCUUGCGUUGGAGCCCUGCGGCUGCCGCAGGCUCCCAAAUCCAGUGGCGGGCUCGUCGUCGUACCGAGUGCAGUAAACAUCCUCGCUCAGGGAACGUGACGGGUUCUUGCCGUGAAACCCCCCACAUAUCAAGGUUGACCUCGGAUCAGGUAGGAAUACCCGCUGAACUUAAGCAUAUCAAUAAGCGGAGGA